UACGUAGGGGGCAAGCGUUGUCCGGAAUCAUUGGGCGUAAAGCGCGUGUAGGCGGUUCGGUAAGUCUGCUGUGAAAGUCCAGGGCUCAACCCUGGGAUGCCGGUGGAUACUGUCGAACUAGAGUACGGAAGAGGCGAGUGGAAUUCCCGGUGUAGCGGUGAAAUGCGCAGAUAUCAGGAGGAACACCGGUGGCGAAGGCGGAUCUCUGGGCCAUUACUGACGCUGAGGAGCGAAAGCGUGGGGAGCGAACAGG
rnacentral:rRNA from 1 species